CAGCCGCCACGGGAAUACGUAGGGUGCAAGCGUUAAUCGGAAUUACUGGGCGUAAAGCGUGCGCAGGCGGUUUUGUAAGACAGAGGUGAAAUCCCCGGGCUCAACCUGGGAACUGCCUUUGUGACUGCAAGGCUAGAGUACUGCAGAGGGGGAUGGAAUUCCGCGUGUAGCAGUGAAAUGCGUAGAUAUGCGGAGGAACACCGAUGGCGAAGGCAAUCCCCUGGGCCUGUACUGACGCUCAUGCACGAAAGCGUGGGGAGCAAACAGGAUUAGAUACCCCUGUAGUCCCUGUCUCUUAUAC
rnacentral:rRNA from 1 species